rnacentral:rRNA from 1 species
GUCGGGAGUCUUGCACAAUGGGGGAAACCCUGAUGCAGCGACGUCGCGUGUGGGAUGAAGUAUUUCGGUAUGUAAACCACUUUUGCGGGGGGCGAAAAAAAUGACGGUACCCCGCGAAUAAGCCCCGGCUAACUACGUGCCAGCAGCCGCGGUAAUACGUAGGGGGCGAGCGUUGCUCGGAUUGACUGGGCGUAAAGCGCGCGUAGGCGGUCCAUUAAGUGUGCGGUGAAAUUCGGAGGCUCAACCUCCGUCCCGCCGCGCAAACUGAUGGUCUUGAGAUUGGGAGGGGGAUGCGGAAUUCCUGGUGUAGCGGUGAAAUGCAUUGAUAUCAGGAGGAACACCGGCGGCGAAAGCGGCAUCCUGGCUUAUAUCUGACGCUGAGGCGCGAAAGCGUGGGUAGCAAACGGGAUUAGAUACCCCGGUAGUCC